GACGAACGCUGGCGGCGUGCUUAACACAUGCAAGUCGAACGGAAAGGCCCUGCUUUUGUGGGGUGCUCGAGUGGCGAACGGGUGAGUAACACGUGAGUAACCUCCCCUUGACUUUGGGAUAACUUCAGGAAACUGGGGCUAAUACCGGAUAGGAGCUCCUGCUGCAUGGUGGGGGUUGGAAAGUUUCGGCGGUUGGGGAUGGACUCGCGGCUUAUCAGCUUGUUGGUGGGGUAGUGGCUUACCAAGGCUUUGACGGGUAGCCGGCCUGAGAGGGUGACCGGCCACAUUGGGACUGAGAUACGGACCAGACUCCUACGGGAGGCAGCAGUGGGGAGUAUUGCACAAUGGGCGGAAGCCUGAUGCAGCAACGCCGCGUGCGGGAUGACGGCCUUCGGGUUGUAAACCGCUUUCGCCUGUGACGAAGCGUGAGUGACGGUAAUGGGUAAAGAAGCACCGGCUAACUACGUG
rnacentral:rRNA from 1 species